AGCAGCAGAGCGUUGCUUCAUCACGGCUUUUACAGGGAAAUACGUUGUGGAGAGCCAGGAGAACUACCGUGAAUUCUUGAAGGCUCUUGGAAUUGAAGUUCCCAAGGAUUCCAGCAGUGAUGACAUGAUAACAGAUAUCUAUCAGAACGACUAGUUCAAGUUGAACAAAUCUUUGAUGGACAAGACCUGGAACAACUUGUUCGCCAUUGGGAAGGAGAGCGAACUGAAAACUCUGGAUGGAGAGACAUUCAAGACCACUGUCACUUUGGAUGGAGGUAAACUCAAGAUUCAGUUCCCCAAAUACCUUUACACCGCUGAGAUGGUUAGUGGCAAGCUUGUUGAGGUCAACACCAUCGGUGCCGUUACUAACAAGAC